UGAAAUUAACAAGUUUAUUAUUGAAAAAUGGGAUUUAAUUCGUUUAAUAUAGGAAUUAACAAGUAAAUUUCACUAUCAGUUCAUAUAUACUUUGCUUUUACACAGUGAUCUUAUUCUAGUGUGCCGUAGUGGACUAGUGGUGAUGCUUCCUCUCUGAAUUGGAUUUUGGAUAAACAUAUAAAUUGCUCUUGCUCAAGUGAACAGUGAUAUGAGUCCCCCAGUCCCUUAUUUUAAAUAAAAUAAAAUUCUCUUUCAGUAAACAAUAGAAA
rnacentral:lncRNA from 1 species